AGGCCGUUCGCGGCUGGACUAUUUAUUACCCUUGUCUUUUGCGCACUUGUUGUUUCCUGGGCGGGUUCGCUCGCCACCAGGACCACAAUAUAAACCUUUUUUAUGCAGUUGCAAUCAGCGUCAGUAUAACAAAUGUAAAUCAUUUACAACUUUCAACAACGGAUCUCUUGGUUCUGGCAUCGAUGAAGAACGCAGCGAAAUGCGAUACGUAGUGUGAAUUGCAGAAUUCAGUGAAUCAUCGAAUCUUUGAACGCACAUUGCGCCCUUUGGUAUUCCAAAGGGCAUGCCUGUUCGAGCGUCAUUUGUACCCUCAAGCUUUGCUUGGUGUUGGGCGUUUUUGUCUUUGGCCCGCCAAAGACUCGCCUUAAAAUGAUUGGCAGCCGGCCUACUGGUUUCGCAGCGCAGCACAUUUUUGCGCUUGCAAUCAGCAAAAGAGGACGGCAAUCCAUCAAGACUCCUUCUCACGUUUGACCUCGGAUCAGGUAGGGAUACCCGCUGAACUUAAGCAUAUCAAUA
rnacentral:rRNA from 1 species